rnacentral:rRNA from 58 species
UUGACCUCGGAUCAGGUAGGGAUACCCGCUGAACUUAAGCAUAUCAAUAAGCGGAGG